AGUUACUGCCACCCUCUCCCAGGUCUAGAGAGGGGUACCCACGGUGGAGGGAGGUGGGAGGCCGAGACGGCCCCGGGGGUCGGCGGAGACCCAGCGGGAGCAGGGGGAAAUCGGAAGAGCUGGGGGCAUGGAGCGGGCGAGUUUGGAGCGGAAUGAGCCGGGAGCCCUACGUUGUGGAAGGAAGACAACAGUAUAGGACCAUCAGCAGGACCGGACAGAGAGGGGCACACCAGGCUGGCCUUGAACUCAGAAAUCCGCCUGCCUCUGACUCCCGAGUGCUGAGAUUAAAGGUGUGCACCACCACACCCGACAAGGAAGCCUGUUUUAAGAAGUGAUUCCAUGGAGGAGUUCUGCGGCGGCUCAGGGCUUGACUAAACAGUGGACCUCAGACAAGAGAGGCUAAACCAGGCUGCAGGUGACAGGAAGAAUUGAAUAAACUGAAAGCAAAGGGCAGCCUUCUAAUUACGCUUCGUGGCUAUGUGGACAACCUGGAGAAGUCUGGAAACCUUUCCUCCUCCAUUUUACUACUUGAGGGAGCAGUGGGUGGGAUACUAGAAGCCAGAAGCCCGAAGCCAGCAGUAGAGCUCUGACUGGCUUGUAUGCCUAGAAAGGAAGGGCUCUUCUUUCGCCUCACGGGCACAAAUGGGACCCACGAGCGCCGAUUUCAGACUAUUCUGAUCCCUUCAAAAAGAAAGUUAGGAGUCCAGGCUACUGUGAGUGAAUUUGAUUCUAAUUGUUUCAGAGAAUAUGGAAUAAAAUAUCUCAUUUGCAGUUGUUUA
rnacentral:lncRNA from 1 species